UUUUAGAACUAAAGAAAUUGUCAUGACAUGAUUAUGAUUCUAACAAAACACUGGAAAAUACUUCAGAAAAGCGAUUCUUUUUAACAUCUGGAUUAAAAUGGCAGUGGUUAGAUGCUUGAUCAGAGUGUGGGAGGUUUUUGUACGGCCACUUAAUGAGUUUGUAUCACUGUGGAGGACUUUUGGUGGAGGAACCAAACUCAUCAUUCACUCUGGCCCCAUGGUCAGACCCUCAGUCUCUCUGCUUCAACCCUCCUCUGAGAAGCUCUCUGGAGGCCCAGUCACACUGGCCUGCCUGCUGACCGGCUACUCUCCUCAGGGAGCUGAAGUGAGAUGGGAGGUAGAUGGCACAGAGGUGACAGAGGGGGUCCUGAACAGCUUAGAAGAAGAGAAGAGAAGUCGCUACAGCAGCAGCAGCAGCACCCUGAUGCUGAGCCAAGAGAACUGGAUGAACGCAGAGGUGUUCUCCUGCAGGGUGAACCAUCAUGACCACUGGCAGGCCAAGUCCUUCCACAAGAGCCGGUGUGAGGGCUAGAGGGGCUGCUGAAGUCCAGGACAGGAGCUUAGUGUGAGGAAGCAGGAGAUACAUCCCUGCUGCUCUGAUCAAUAUGAGUUUGGAAGUUUGUAGAUGUAAUUAUUUGAUAACAACAAGAUAGAGAAUGAAAUGUGUUGCAGCUGGAUGUGAAUGUACCCAAUACCUGCCAUAUUAACAAUAUGUAUUUUUGCCAAUAAAGCUUGCAGUGAUCCAUAUUAUCAAGUAUUUUUGUCUUAUUUUUAAAUAUAGUGGCUCUAUACUUGGAGUUCAGUGUACUAUAAAUUAACCUUUUUGCUUAUCACAUGAAAAAUCAAGAGUGGGAGGAGAUGAAGAUGGCAGGGCUGCAUCUGGCCUGAACAUCUGGGACAAAUCAAAAAUCCUACUACUCUGAUCUUUAUGUGUUCGUAGAUAAAAAUAAAGCUUUGUUUGUGAGAGAACAACACUGUUCUGAAACAAGUGUAAGGAGCUUGGAAAGAAAA